GAUGAAGAACGCAGCGAAAUGCGAUAAGUAAUGUGAAUUGCAGAAUUCCGUGAAUCAUCGAAUCUUUGAACGCACAUUGCGCCCCCUGGCAUUCCGGGGGGCAUGCCUGUCCGAGCGUCAUUUCUGCCCUCAAGCACGGCUUGUGUGUUGGGUGUGGUCCCCCCGGGGACCUGCCCGAAAGGCAGCGGCGACGUCCGUCUGGUCCUCGAGCGUAUGGGGCUCUGUCACUCGCUCGGGAAGGACCUGCGGGGGUUGGUCACCACUAUAUUUUACCACGGUUGACCUCGGAUCAGGUAGGAGUUACCCGCUGAACUUAAGCAUAUCAAUAAGCGAGGA
rnacentral:misc_RNA from 1 species